AGAGUUUGAUCCUGGCUCAGGAUGAACGCUAGCGACAGGCCUAACACAUGCAAGUCGAGGGGCAGCGCGGAGUAGCAAUACUUUGGCGGCGACCGGCGCACGGGUGCGUAACAGGUGUGCAAUCUGUCCAUAGUCGGGGGAUAGCCCGGCGAAAAGCCGAAUUAAUACUCCAUGUGUCACGAAGCCGCAUGACUUUGUGAUGAAACGUAAGGACUAUGGGUGAGCACGCUUCUGAUUAGGUAGUUGGUGAGGUAACGGCCCACCAAGCCGACGAUCAGUAGGGGUUCUGAGAGGAAGGUCCCCCACAUUGGAACUGAGACACGGUCCAAACUCCUACGGGAGGCAGCAGUGAGGAAUAUUGGUCAAUGGACGAGAGUCUGAACCAGCCAAGUCGCGUGAAGGAUGAAGGUUCUAUGGGUCGUAAACCUCUUUUGCCGGGGAUAAAGAUGAUUACGUGUAAUCAUUUGAAGGUACCCGGAGAAUAAGCAUCGGCUAACUCCGUGCC
rnacentral:rRNA from 1 species